UAAAAAUAAAGAUUUUUUUAAAAAGUGAAAAGGCAAUCUGCAGAACGGGGGUAAAUAUUUGCAAAUCAUAUCUGAUAAGUGGUUAAUAUGCAAAAUAUUUAAAGAAACCCUACAACAAGAAAGACAACCUGAUAUAAGAAUAAAAUAAAGUAUCCAGAAAUGAACUUCAGCAACUAGUCCAAAAACAGAUUGAAGCAUUUUAUCACAUUCUAGUCUCCAGAUUGAAACCUACUGUGUGAAAUUCAGAAUUUUUUAGUCCCCCUUGGGAACCUGAAAUGGAAAGAACUGCUCUCUCCAUACCUGCUAACAUCAAAAUGUUCCAUCACCUAAGGUUAGUCCUUCAGAACAUAUCCUUUGUACCACUGCCCACUCCAUGCCCACCUGAUUCACAUGCAGACCACUGAAUCCCAUUCCAUAAUAAACAAUUCCCUCUUUCUGCCUUUCAGUGUGCCCUGACAGACUCUUCCUCCUUCCUGAACCCAUUUCAAUAUUCAGCACAAAUGUGUAUAUUUCAAGAGUAUAAUCAAUAGGCUGGGAAUGUAACUCAGUGGUCGAGGGCUUGCUUACAUGUAUAAGGCCCUGGGUUCCAUCCCCAACAACAACAAAAUAGAUUAUAGCAUUGUAACACUGCUAUAUUGUACAUGAAGGGACAAUGGGGAAUAGGCACCACAGGGAUUUUUAAUAUAGAGAUUUAGCCAGGCGAGCCAGUGAACACCUGUAAUCCCAGUGGCUCAAGAGGCUGAGGCAGGAGGAUUUCAAUUUCAAAGCCAGCCUAAGCAACUUAGCGAAGCACUAAGCAACUCACAGUUACACUCUGUCUCUAAAUAAUAUACAAAAAGGACUGGGGAUAUGGCUCAGUGGUUAAAUGCCCCUGAGUUCAAUCCCUGGUGCCAAAAGAGAGAAAGGGAAGGGGGAGGGAAGGAGGGAGGGAGAGAGAGAAGCUUAGUUGUCAUACUAUCAAGAAGGUGAUAUGAAGAGUUCUGAGGGAGCUGGCAAGAAAUUUUGUUCCUGCAGCUCUGAGACUCCUUGGUGGGACCUGUGGAGGCAAUAAGUACCAUGGUGAUUGGCAGACAGACUAUAGAGGAACAUCAUCAUCUGUGGCUGCCUUCCCCCACCCCCCAGGGUGAAAGGAGGAGAAAAACCUAUCAGAAAAUAAUGGUGCCACCUUGAACAAAAUAACAGGCAUGUCCCACCACGCUACUCAGCUAAGAUAUAUUUCUUUGAUUCUCUUGGUUUACCCGAUAGGGAACAGAAGAAGAAAUGUCAUUAACUACUGUUGACAAAUGAUUCCUCUUGCAUAUAGUUAAUUGAGAAGUGGGACCAAUUUGGUCAAGGUUCAGUCAAGCUGAAUUUUAAGAAAAUGUGAAGUUUUCUACAUUUCAUUACACAAUGUCAAAAUCUCACUGUAUACUUUUCUGUUACUGCUGUAACAAAUUGCCACAAACUCAGAGGAUUAAACAACAUCUGUUUCCAUGCAUUUUCCAGCUUGCUGAGACCACCAACCUUCCACAGUCUGUGGGCUCUUCCAGAUUCCGUCAGCACUGCAGCUUCUUCUCUCCCCUGGCAUCAAAAUGUUCCAUCGCCUACCUUCAUUUUAUUAAAAAAACCCUGUGGGUGACAUCUGGCCCACCCAGAUCAUCCAGGAUGAUUUCCCUUUCUCCAAGUCCUUAAUUUAGUAAUUUCUGCAAAUUCCUUUUGAAUGUAAAGCAGCACAUUCACAGGUUCUGGAGAUAAGGACAUGGACAUCUUUAUGGGCUACAAUCCUGUAUCACAUCACAUUGAGCAAUAUUACCACUGACACCAGAAAACUCUUACUCAAAAAUUAUUAUAUUCAUACUAACAGAUGCAAGUUCUCCAAGAUUGUAAUUUUUGCUUGAAAGCUCAGUGGGUUUUAUUUUGUUUUGUUUUGUUGUUGUUGUUAACCAAGGAUUGAACCCAGGGAUGCUUAACCACUGAACCACAUUCCCGGUAGAGACUGGGUCUCACUGAGUUGCUCAGCACCUCACUUUUUGCUGAAGCUGGCUUUGAACUAGCGAUUCUCCUGUCUCAGCCUCCCAAACCACUGGGAUUACAGGCAUAUGCCAACACGCCAGGUGAAUGCUCAGUUUUUAUCAUUGGCAAUAGUCAAUGGUUUCACUUAAAAUGACAAGCUUGCUUCAUUGAUUUUCAAUAUCUAUUGAAUAAAAUUGUGGUUAUUUCAUGUAAGAUGAAAAUUCCAUAAGAAUUCAAGGGUAGAGAUAACAAAUUUUUGUUUUUACUAAGAUUAUUAAGUAAAAUUGGUACUAGGAGAACAGAGCAAAAAAGAGUUAACAUUUUUGAGUACAAUUUGAAGGCACUGAAUUAAUUUGUCCAAAGAUCCCAGCAUUUUUGGCCUGCAACUGCUUUUGCAUCCUCAGAACAAAGACAAAGAGUGAAGAACAAAGUUAUAGUGUCAGUAUGAAUAUUAAUUUGAUAUCAGAUCCCCUGGAAAGAGUGGCAAAGACCUACCACCUCCUACCCUCACCAGGGGUCUAUGAGCCAUAUCACACCUUGAAAAUUGCUAUUUACAGAAAUAAAACCUGCCAGCAGAUGGCAGUAGGUACAGUAGCAUUUCCCAAUUUGCAUUAACCAUUAUUUAGGAAAGUGAUUUCAUUAAAAAGGAAUUUAAAUUUUUGCCUUAAAGUUCAAAGAUAGCAUCUCUUUGCAGAAAUUAAACUAGACCAAAUAAAUCCAUGAAACAGGUGCUACUUCAGCUUACAACUCAAUGACCCAACAACUUUAAGUACUACAGGCCUCUCACUUUGUCACGCAGAACACAAAAAAUAGUACAUAGCCUUGGUACAGGAACUCUGCCAUUUUACUAAAUAGUGCAAAAUUCAAAAAAGUGUUCUGCCAACUAAAAUUACUCUAAAAUUGAAGCAUUUCCCUUAAAGAAUCAUGUACAGAGUUUAAUAAAACAUUUUUUCAAUUAAAUGUUA
rnacentral:lncRNA from 1 species